rnacentral:rRNA from 1 species
GAUGAACGCUAGCGGCAGGCUUAACACAUGCAAGUCGAGGGGCAGCAUGAGACGGAGAUUCGUCGAAGUCUUGAUGGCGACCGGCGCAAGGGUGCGUAACGCGUGAGCAACUUGCCCGUUUCUGGGGAAUAACCGGUGGAAACGCCGACUAAUACCCCAUAGUAUUGGAUUUAGGCAUCUUUAUCCAAUUAAAGAAUUUCGGAAACGGAUAGGCUCGCGUGACAUUAGCUAGAUGGCGGGGUAACGGCCCACCAUGGCGACGAUGUCUAGGGGUUCUGAGAGGAAGGUCCCCCACACUGGAACUGAGACACGGUCCAG